rnacentral:rRNA from 1 species
GACGAACGCUGCGGCGUGCUUAACACAUGCAAGUCGACCGAUGAAGCCUAGCUUGCUAGGUGGAUUAGUGGCGAACGGGUGAGUAAUACGUGAGUAACCUACCUUUAACUCUGGGAUAAGCCCGGGAAACUGGGUCUAAUACCGGAUACGACCAAUCUCCGCAUGGGGUGUUGGUGGAAAGCGUUAUGUAGCGGUUAUAGAUGGGCUCACGGCCUAUCAGCUUGUUGGUGAGGUAACGGCUCACCAAGGCGACGACGGGUAGCCGGCCUGAGAGGGUGACCGGCCACACUGGGACUGAGACACGGCCCAGACUCCUACGGGAGGCAGCAGUGGGGAAUAUUGCACAAUGGGCGCAAGCCUGAUGCAGCGACGCCGCGUGAGGGAUGACGGCCUUCGGGUUGUAAACCUCUGUUAGCAGGGAAGAAGAGAAAUUGACGGUACUGCAGAGAAAGCGCGG